rnacentral:rRNA from 1 species
GGCGGUUAGAUAAGUNUGAAGUUAAAGGCAGUGGCUCAACCAUUGUAGGCUUUGGAAACUGUUUAACUUGAGUGCAGAAGGGGAGAGUGGAAUUCCAUGUGUAGCGGUGAAAUGCGUAGAUAUAUGGAGGAACACCGGUGGCGAAAGCGGCUCUCUGGUCUGUAACUGACACUGAGGCUNGAAAGCGUGGGGAGCGAACAGGAUUAGAUACCCUGGUAGUCCACGCCGUAAACGAUGAGUGCUAGGUGUUAGGUCCUUUCCGGGACUUAGUGCCGCAGCUAACGCAUUAAGCACUCCGCCUGGGGAGUACGACCGCAAGGUUGAAACUCAAAGGAAUUGACGGGGGCCCGCACAAGCGGUGGAGCAUGUGGUUUAAUUCGAAGCAACGCGAAGAACCUUACCAGGUCUUGACAUCCCGAUGCCCGCUCUAGAGAUAGAGCUUUACUUCGGUACAUCGGUGACAGGUGGUGCAUGGUUGUCGUCAGCUCGUGUCGUGAGAUGUUGGGUUAAGUCCCGCAACGAGCGCAACCCUUAUUGUUAGUUGCCAUCAUUCAGUUGGGCACUCUAGCGAGACUGCCGGUAAUAAACCGGAGGAAGGUGGGGAUGACGUCAAAUCAUCAUGCCCCUUAUGACCUGGGCUACACACGUGCUACAAUGGCUGGUACAACGAGUCGCAAGCCGGUGACGGCAAGCUAAUCUCUGAAAGCCAGUCUCAGUUCGGAUUGUAGGCUGCAACUCGCCUACAUGAAGUCGGAAUCGCUAGUAAUCGCGGAUCAGCACGCCGCGGUGAAUACGUUCCCGGGCCUUGUACACACCGCCCGUCACACCACGAGAGUUUGUAACACCCGAAGUCGGUGAGGUAACCGUAAGGAGCCAGCCGCCUAAGGUGGGAUAG